rnacentral:rRNA from 1 species
CAGUAGCCGCGGUAAUACGUAGGGUGCAAGCGUUAAUCGGAAUUACUGGGCGUAAAGCGUGCGCAGGCGGUUAUAUAAGACAGAUGUGAAAUCCCCGGGCUCAACCUGGGAACUGCAUUUGUGACUGUAUAGCUAGAGUACGGCAGAGGGGGAUGGAAUUCCGCGUGUAGCAGUGAAAUGCGUAGAUAUGCGGAGGAACACCGAUGGCGAAGGCAAUCCCCUGGGCCUGUACUGACGCUCAUGCACGAAAGCGUGGGGAGCAAACAGGAUUAGAGACCCCUGUAGUCCCUGUCUCUUAUAC